GGAUGUAAGGGCGGUCUGGCUGUGACAUCUGUCACGUUCAGCGAUUGCCAGGACUGACUUGGCUGAUCUGGCUGGUGUGGCAGCUGUCCCCUCUUUCUUCCUCAACCUCACC
rfam:Mesocricetus auratus contig076569, whole genome shotgun sequence.